CAGCUGUGCUCCUCUAUUCCCGUGCUCGGUUAUCAGAUGGCUUCUAGGGAUAGUUUGUGCCUGGAAUUAUGCCAGAUGCUGGGACUACAGUGUUAAACAAACGUAGACAUUGUUCCUGCUCUCGCAGAGAAUCUCCUGGGUAUUAAGGAGCUUCCCUCUAAAGUGGAAAUUCGAUUUCAGAAAAUUACUGUAGGACACCUGAGACCUCUUCCCAUCAGGGAAGAAAUGUCUUUCUCACUACCAGCUUGAUUUCUCCCUGCACUGUGCCCGAAGUACAUGGUGUGCUCAGAAACGGGCUAUCAUACACCUCAAAUUCUGGUAAGCGACCUAGAGCAGGCCAUGGUCUGUAUAGUCGGGGGUUGGGGCGCUCUGUGACCCUUCCGACCACAACUGGAUGGGAGCCACCCCUCAUUUGGCAUUAGCUUUUGAUUGGGUACUCUAGUGCUUCUGGGAAGAGCAUUAUCCCCUAUGUAGAGUAAUGUCAAUUUGAUCGUGUGUGUGUGUGUGUGUGUGUGUGUGUGUGUGUGUGUGUGUGUGUGUGAGAGAGAGAGAGAGAGAGAGAGAGAGAGAGAGAGAGAGAGAGAGGCUUAUAAAUAGGCUUUCAUAGGCUUCUAAUUAUUCCCCUUCCUGUAGCCUCCUCUGCUCUACCCUUCUGUGGGUCUCCCCACUCUUGUAGAUCUUUGGCCUUGUAGAUCAAAGGAAGCAGAGAUGCUGAGCGUGGGGAUGAGGGUUGGAAGCCCUGUGAGUGUGUACAGUUAAUAACCACACCAUGAUCAGCUAUCAGGAGGCAGAUCAACCUUACUAGGGUGACUCGAGGUUUAUAAAGUUUUGAGGGACUGAGAGUAGGAACAUCCAGGAUGGGCAAAGGUCAUUGGCUAGGGCUUAGGGUAUCUGGACUGCCUCAUUAGCAUGGGGAAGCAUUUCAGGACUCUCAGGUGCUACCUGAAGAGGUUUAUCAGGAGAAAGGAAAUGGAUCCUGUAAUCUGAUUGAGGCUAUGGGACAUUGCUCAGGUAGAGGCUUAUGCAGGACUUAAAAUUUCCCAGACAAGUUCAAAGGAGAAGCCUGCUAAUGAAGGGAGUCUCCCAUUCUGUGCCAAGCCCAGAGGCUAUCCGAUCACGGAGGACUUCGACCUUAAUUAGCAGUUUCCCACAUCUCCCCCUGAUUUAUUUUUUAAUGGAGAAACGUCACUAAAGUAUUCCACCCCUGUACUGGGGACAGCUUGGCACGGAACCAGAGCCCAGUUAGCAGUGAUGCUUGCCCUGCUGCUCUCUGUUGAUGAUUGCAGUGCUGCUCUCUGUUGUUUAACAAUUGGACAAGGCAGGGUGUAAGCAUCAAAACCAAACACAACAUAAGCAGAGGAGAAGUGAGGGCUAGGAGCCAGGGGACAAGGGAUUAUUGAACCAACCUAAUUGCUCAGUGGAUUGAAAUCUCAAGAGUAAGUCUGCACAGCUUUGUUUGUUUGUUUGUUUGUUUGUUUUGUUUUGUUUUUUGAGGGUGUAAGCAUUUUUCUCAAACAAUAUCUGAUCCAUUUACAUAGACAUAACAUUUUUUUCUCAGCACUAUGCAAGCCCCCCUCCCUCCACUAAAUUUAGUCACCAUUAGGCUCCAGCAAGAGAUUUCAUCUAUUGGUGGAGAGACCCUGCUUGUCUCAAAUUCUCCAGUCAGCCAGUGUAUCUGGACGAAAGGCAGCUGCCGGCCUCAGGCAGGUCCGAGGAAGAUGGUGGGUCUGAGUCUGACCUGCCGAGACAGUGCUGCUUUCAUAGGGGUCAGCCUGCAGCAUAAUCAUAACAGGGCUGCAGACCUGACAGUGGGAUAUCUGUGCAAGGGGUUAUACUUUUUUUUCUUUUUUUACACGCAUUAAUGCACACAUUAAACCUGUACAGUUUGAUUGGCAGCCCAAUAGUUAUCCAUUGCUCUAAACCUGUUAGCAGUUUAAUGGGUGUUAGAGGAAUUUUAAUCCUGGAAGUGGGAAGUUACACUAGGGAAAGCAGAGGGAAGGGUUGGAAUUUAUUUAUCCUAUCCGCUUAAGGUAAAGAAAACUCCAUGUUAAUUAUGGACGUGAAAUGAGCAAAAACCGCUUGUCUGUGAAAAGUAAAUUGACUUAUGUAGACAUCAAUAGAAGAUUAAGUAAUUGUUGUUAAGGUAGUUCCUUUGACCCGUGGGAGGUAGAUCCAAAGUGAAAUUAUAAAUUUACAAAAAGAGACGAAUUGCAGUAAUGUCCAUAUUACCGUCAUUUAUAAUCUGUAAACAAUUUGGGGUUAAAAGUUGAACAUUCUUUAGAUAAUCCUGUUGCUAGGGAAAAGCAGACAUUUAAACAAUUUUUUUUUUAGACAAAGAAGCAUGAGAAUGCUAAAUUUUGGGUGAGCUGCUGUUGUACCAAGCAAUGACUGCAAAGGCAAAACUCCACCCUUCAUCCCCAGGAUUCAGGUUUGCAGAUGAGUGAUCCGGAUGAGUUGACAGACAGAGACCACUUGUAGUCAGCCUGCCCAGAGGAUUUAACUUCGCCGUGUCAGUCCAGCUGUGCCAGCAAUCUGCCUAGUCCUUCCUGCUCCUGGUCUGGGGAAGAAACAGACUUUACCACUGCCUGUUGUUUGCUUUGGCUAUCCUCUCUGGGGCCCCAGCCAUCGGCCAGGUUGUGCCCUGUAGGGAUGGAACAGUACCCCUGGCAGAGUUCCCACACCCUGCCAUUCCAUUUCUGACUUAACCUCUUCCCCCAUCAUUCCCCUUUCAAAUGCCCCUCUACCUUUAAGAUCUGUCUUCCUCCUAUCUUCCUCUCCUGCCAUCUUUCUUUCCCUUCCCCAAAGCAGGCCCUUUCUGAAUUGUCUCAGAGUGAUAGUAUAGAGUCAGGAAAAGUGCAUGAAUGAGAGGUUUGCUUCCUGUGGUAAAAUGACAGGACUUGGUGAUGCUUUGGGUUUUGUAGACAAAAUGUAGAAAUGUAUAAUGAGAUAUGUUUGUGCGAUGAUUAGACUUCAAGGGACUCAAAGAUACGUGCUUGACAGUUUUGCUAUUCUUUUUAAACUAUUAUUUACACCAUUUUUACAUUUAAAUAUAUUUGAUCAUAUCUAUCCCCUACCCCAAGGCAUUCUAGGCACACCUAACUCUCAAGUUCUUUUGCAGAAAAAUAACAAAGUCCCAACUCAACAGCAAAACCAAGAGAACAAAAUAGAGCACCAAACUGUAACUACACCAAAGCAUACGCACAGAAACCGGGGAGUGCACUCCUGAACACAAGGCUCCCCCUGCAGUAGUUGAUAAACCCAGUGCCACCCAUCAGAAGAAGGGAUUUUCCCUCCUCAGCAGGUAUAAACGACGGCUUAGUUGUUAACCUUUACAUGGCUACAUUGUCAUUCAUUCAUUCAUUAUUCAUUUUAACCUUAACAAAAUAAAAUAAUAUAAAACAAAACUUUCACUGGGGAGUUGGACAGGACAAACCAACAGAAGGAAAAGAGCCCAAAAGAAGGCACAAAAAUCAGAGACCCCUCAUUUGCACACUCAGGAAUCCAAUAUAGCACUAAACUGGAAGCCAUAAUGCAUACACAGAAGACCUGGUGCAUGCUGCGUCCCUCUCUGAGUUCAUGUGGGCUUUGCUCUUGCUGACUUAAAGGACCUUGUUUCUGUGGUGGCUUCAUCCCCCCGGCUCUUUCUGCCUUCUCUUCCGUGGGUUCUAUGAGCUCUGAGGGAAGGCUUCGAUGGAGACAUCCCAUUUAGGACUGAGCAUUCCGAGGUCUCUCACUCCCUGGGUACUAUGUACAUGUCAGUCUCUAUCUGUGUUCCCAAGCUGAGAUAAGCAGCUUCUCUGAUGGUGGUGGAACAAGGCACUGAUCUCUGAGUACAGCAGAAUAUUGUAAGGAGUCAUUUUAUCAGUUUGUUGUUGGGUUGCUCUCUGUUGUUUGUUUGUUUGGGUUUUGGGGGUGUUUGUUAGAUCAGUACUAUUUGACUUUACGCUAGGUCCCUGGGCUAUCUAGUCUCUGAUUCUUGGCAACCCAAGCAAUGCUGAAUGUAGUUUCUAUCUUGUGGAGUGGAUCCUUAAGUCCAAUCAAUUACUGAUUAGUUAUCGGCACAAGCUUGGUGCCACCACUGUCUUAGCGUAUCUUGCAGGCAGGACACCAUUGUAGGUUUGUGGCUGGUUUGGUAGUGUGCAGAGUACCUUCCUUUACCGAAGAUGCCAGAACGUAGGGGUGAGGGCUCUGUGCAGGCCUUAGCGCGACAUUAGUUCAAUGAGUUGUACAGGUGGUGUAGCUUCGCUAUUCUAAUGCACUUGCUUGUGACUCAGGGUUUACGUGAUACUUGCAAGCCCAGUGAUCUUGAGAUUAAGGCAAUGAGAGACAAGUAUGUAGAGAACUAAGCUCAAAGCCGCUCUUCCAUAUCUAAUUUCCAUAUCACUCCCAUAGUGACUAUUCUUUCAAAAGUGCUGGUGCACGGCAGUCUAUUUUAGAUAGUACAUGAGAGUAAAAUUUUUCAUUUUAAUUUACAUUAAGCACAGGAAAUAACUAUCAGAACAACUGACUCAAGCCCCAUUCUUUAUUCCAAAAGAAAUAUGUUUAAGAGAGAAAAGCCAAUUUUAAUUUUGCAUGCCUGAAAAAGCAGAAACAGUCGAGUUUACGUAAGUUACCUGAAUAUCAGGUAGAACCCUAUUAAACUUAGCCUUCUCUAUGAUGUGAAAGGAUAUGUAUCAAGCCAGGUAAUUUAAAAGUUAUUGGUAGUAAUAUUGAAUGUACAAAUGACUCAAAGAAUUUUAUUAAAAAUGUGAAAGAUUGAAAUCUGUAGAAUUAAAUUUUGCUUUGCUGAAAAUAAUUGUCAUUCAGAUGCAGUUUGCAAGCUUGAUUUAAACAUCUGAUUAGAGGCUUAUUUUAAUUUUUAGAUUUCCUUAUAUGUUCUGGAUACCUGCUAUUAAAUUAUUGUGAAAAUGUAAGCUUAUGUAUUAGCUUUAUGUAAACAGAAGUGGCAGCUAUGCUAUGUUCCAUUCUGAAAAUGAAGGCAGAGACUAUAUCCACGUGCUAGAAGCAAGCUGACGGGCAGACUGGCAUUUCACUCAGGGGUAACACGAGCCUCCAUGUUAGUGUCUUAAAGUAUUUAAAUCAGUGAAGUUAUAUAUAUGUGUGUGUAUGUGUGUGUAUGUGUGUGUAUGUGUGUGUAUAAAACCUUUGUAAUAAUUUGUACCAAUAAAACCACAACAGUUUUUAAAAAUUCACAUACAUAGUUUGAUGGAUGGCACUGAAAAUCUACCAGUGUCGAGUUGUUGAUGACUUUGGCUUCUUUUUUUACAUAUUCUUAAAUAAGCAUUCAUAUAUUUACAUAUUUACAUAUAAGAUAAGCAAAGUUUUAAAAAAAGAUAAGCAAAAGUCUAUAAUAGUAUGUCUUUGUUUUCUGAUUGCAAAGCAGGUGUGUAUUUCUCCUGUAAAUUUUACAGUGCGGAGAAAUGUUCCAACCGAAGCCUAAAAUCUCACCAUCUACAUAAGAAGUUUCCCGAGCAACCCAACAGAGUGUUUUAUUUUUGCAAAUUUUUACCUCAAACAAGAAUCCAUUUAAGCUUUCUGCAUUGUGGUUUAUUUAUAUCUAUUUGUCUCUUUUAAAUUAGAACUUUAGUUUCUUGAUUUUGUUUUUUAAUUUUUAUUGUAUUUUAUAUUUGUAGAAACAUACUACGCAAGUGGUAAUUAUUACUCACUUGGACAAAGUUGUAUUUAUCCACUGAUUACCAAAAACUUCUUGGCUUCAUGUACUAUUUUGUUAUACAUAGAAAAACUACAAAUUUUAAGUAAAUGAGAUGAGGAAUAGAGUAGUAGUAAUUGAAUCACAUAAAUUGUUAGCAGUGUUAAGAGGAGAUGGCUCAGCAGCUAAGAAGAGAGGACCUUUGGUCCCCAACACCCACUACACUUGUCACACUCCAGCUCGUGGGGAUUGGCACCCUCCUCUGACCUCAGUAGGCACCAAGCACACAUGAGGUAUACUUACAUACAUGCAAACACUGGUACACAUAAAAUAAA